GACGAACGCUGGCGGCGUGCUUAACACAUGCAAGUCGAACGGUAAGGCUCCAGCUUGCUGGGGUACACGAGUGGCGAACGGGUGAGUAACACGUGGGUGACCUGCCCUGCACUUCGGGAUAAGCCUGGGAAACUGGGUCUAAUACCGGAUAGGACCAUGGUGUGGAUACUGUGGUGGAAAGUUUUUUCGGUGUGGGAUGGGCCCGCGGCCUAUCAGCUUGUUGGUGGGGUAAUGGCCUACCAAGGCGGCGACGGGUAGCCGGCCUGAGAGGGUGGGCGGCCACAUUGGGACUGAGACACGGCCCAGACUCCUACGGGAGGCAGCAGUGGGGAAUAUUGCACAAUGGGCGGAAGCCUGAUGCAGCGACGCCGCGUGGGGGAUGACGGCCUUCGGGUUGUAAACUCCUUUCACCAUCGACGAAGGGUUUCUGACGGUAGAUGGAGAAGAAGCACCGGCUAACUACGUG
rnacentral:rRNA from 1 species